rnacentral:misc_RNA from 1 species
GAUGAAGAACGUAGCGAAAUGCGAUAAGUAAUGCGAAUUGCAGAAUCCGUGAGUCAUCGAAUCUUUGAACGCACAUGGCGCCUUCCAGUAUCCUGGGAGGCAUGCCUGUCCGAGCGUCGUUUCAACCCUCGAGCCCCCGUGGCCCGGCGUUGGGGAUCUGCCACGGCAGGCCCCUAAAACCAGUGGCGGACCCGAAGGCCCUCUCCUUUGCGCAGUAGCAUCAGCCUCGCAUUGGGAUCCCUCGGCGUCCUGCCUCUAAACCCCCCACAAGUCCGCUCCGGCGGCACCAAGGUUGACCUCGGAUCAGGUAGGAAUACCCGCUGAACUUAAGCAUAUCAAUAAGCGGAGGA